rnacentral:lncRNA from 1 species
UAUUUGUUCAAUCAAGUCACAUACUUUUAAAUUGAACAUAUAGACUUAGGUCAAUUCUUUCUUACUUUGCCUGACUUUUUGCGUGACUCCAUAGGUUCGAAGUCGAUAGCACAGAAAACUAUUUUCUGUACUAAUCAAAGUUACCAUCUAGCAAUGAUUCUCAACAAAUGGAUAGAUCAAAUAUUUGCAAGGCAACACUCAAGAACCAAGGAAUAUGGUUACUGCAUAAUUCAUCCCUUUAACUCUGAAUGCUCAGGACAAUCUAAGGUUUAAUUGUCAAUCUGGAUUAGUCAUCCACAUUGUAUUUCAAUCUUUUUCAAAUCCUGUGAUAUAUCACAUGGAUUGCCCCGACCGAGAUCUUACUUAAUUGAAAUACAGUGAUGCAUCAACUCCUGAAAUACAAAGGCAUCAAUCCCAUCUUGAUCCAUACACCAACUACCAUAAGUACUUGACUGUACCCAAAAAUCUUCCGUCACUGAAUUAAAAAUUUAGGUAGUCCAGCACCAAGCAACAGUGAGUUGCUUACAAGUCACCAUGGUGAUCUCAGGUUGGAGGGACACUUAUAUCCAUAUUCUUCAUGAGCUGCUCUUGAUAGCAGAGUGCUCUGCAGGUGAGUCACUUAUUCAGUGAUGAUGUACUUCUAUAUCUUACCUGUGUGCUAUACCUGUGUCUCCACACUCUUUGGUUAAGAGAACAACAAUCU